rnacentral:lncRNA from 1 species
ACGUUUCUCUCUUUUUCACAUAACAAAACAGCACCCCACCACCCCCACGUUCAAAGGUAAAAAAUUCUCUCUCACGUCUUCAUUCUUUUUCUUAGAAAUAGUAAAUCAUCUCUCUCACCAUAAUCAGUUUUCGUCGUUGUACACUCAAAAGAAAGACCAAAUCUUUUUCACAAUACUAAGAAUCAAGAUUUUAGGCUUUUCAAAAAAAGAUGAGCAUACACUUAGAAAGAGCUCAGAUUCGUAGAAGCGAGUUCUAAUGUUGAAAUUGAGGCUCCAUCUUUUAACAUCUUGACUCAAACGUCUUUGACCAACAAAAAUGCAAAUUCGGCGAACAAGAGUGUUACCCCUCACAAGAAGAAACAAAGCGCACUAAAGGAGAAGGAAAAAGAAGCAAAGAAAAUUGCAACUCCUCAAAAUCGAAAGGGACAAAAGAGAAAAGGGAAAAUGAUGGACUGCACAUAGCAAAAGAACAUUCUCUGGAUACUACCUAUUAUCCUGCACCAAGACCAAGGAGAUCAAUUGUUAUACAGAUGAUCGACUUAGACUUUCAUUCCACGUUUAUAUUUUAGGAUGUCGUUUAUUUAUUUAUUUUCA